rnacentral:misc_RNA from 1 species
AAGAAAUUGGCAUAGUACUACUGUAAGCAAAGGCUUUCAAUCUUUCUGAUUCUCUAAGUCAAUUCUUCUUUUUCUUCUUUUUCUUGGUGUUGCUUCGCUUUCCUUUUUUUUUUUUUUUUUUUCUUUAAAAANNNNAACCCACUGAUAAGGAAGAAUAAUAGGGAAAUGGGAGCAACCAACAGAGACCUAGUUCGCCACCAAACAUGCUAUGGCUGUUGGCAUGAAGGACCAUAAGCUACAAGAAGUUUUGUCUUGCUAUUGUCUGCAUUGUUCUUUGCUUUGCUUAUGGGAAAGGUUGGUGUUGAAGAGGAGCAGCCAUUGCCUACCAGUGAUGAUAGUUCUCAGCAAAAUGUACAGAGGAGAUCCUUUGGAUGUUGUGGUUGUGGGUUUAAACGCAUUUAUAGGCUCAUUCGGCUCAGAUGUGUAUUGGUGCUUCUGUUGUCUGUGGCUUUGUUUCUCUCUGCUGUCUUCUGGCUACCUCCCUUCCUUCACUUUGCAGAUCAGGGAGAUCUGGAUCUUGAUCCCAGGUUUAAAAAUCACGAUAUAGUAGCAAGUUUCAAUGUCAGAAAUUCAAUUCCCUUUCUGGAAGACAAUAUCUUGCAGCUUGUGGACGAUGUUUUUUAUGAGAUAAGCUCUCCUAGCAUCAAGGUGGCUAUAUUGUCUCUAGAACCUUCAGUGGAACCAAACACAACAACGGUUGUGUUUGGGGUUGAUCCUGAUGCAAAAAA